rnacentral:tRNA from 1 species
GCCCUCAUAGCUCAUCAGGAUAGAGCAACAGUUUCCUAAACUGUAGGUGGAAGGUUCGAGUCCUUCUGGGGGUA